AUUGAACGCUGGCGGCAGGCCUAACACAUGCAAGUCGAGCGGAUGAAGGGAGCUUGCUCCUGGAUUCAGCGGCGGACGGGUGAGUAAUGCCUAGGAAUCUGCCUGGUAGUGGGGGAUAACGUCCGGAAACGGGCGCUAAUACCGCAUACGUCCUGAGGGAGAAAGUGGGUGAUCUUCGGACCUCACGCUAUCAGAUGAGCCUAGGUCGGAUUAGCUAGUUGGUGGGGUAAAGGCCUACAAAGGCGACGAUCCGUAACUGGUCUGAGAGGAUGAUCAGUCACACUGGAACUGAGACACGGUCCAGACUCCUACGGGAGGAAGCAGUGGGGAAUAUUGGACGAGGGGCGAAAGCCUGAUCCAGCCAUGCCGCGUGUGUGAAGAAGGUCUUCGGAUUGUAAAGCACUUUAAGUUGGGAGGAAGGGCAGUAAGUUAAUACCUUGCUGUUUUGACGUUACCAACAGAAUAAGCACCGGCUAACUUCGUG
rnacentral:rRNA from 1 species